GCUGAAGAAUAUUUAUUGACUGUUUAUUGACUACUAUUAUUACUUUUGGUGAUUUACAUUUAAACUUUACAUUUUUUCAUAACUUCUCUCGGCUAUGACGACAUUUGGCACAUCUUAAUUCCCAUUCACCCUAUUAAUCUAUAUUGAUCUCCCAAAUCACUCAUCUAGCCUACUACAUCCAACAUUGGGGAGAUGAAGUCAACAGUUAAUCAUUUGAAUUUGAAUUCAAGUAAAAUGUAAGUAAGUGUCUAAAAAUAUAUUUGAGGUUGAAAAUAGCUUUAUUCAAAACAUUUUUCUUUGGGCUGUCUGCCAAAGCAGAAGGUAGAACUUAGAAAUCCGGCAUCAGGAUUAUUAUAAUUAUUUGGAAACGUUGUUCUUCUCGCUCUUGACUGUGACCGCUACCACUCUACCAGUCAUUACAUGUGGUCCACGUCUGUCUGCUGCCUGGCAGGCCCACCUACUGGCUGGGGAAGGACACCCUGAGGGUGUCUGCCAAACUGUUUGCGGAGAACCGCCGUCGGCUGUGCCAGGGGCUGGGUGCCGCCGGAGCGCCCCCAGGAGCGGUGGUCCUCUUGCAGGGCGGGGAGCAGAAGCAGCGGUACUGCACCGACACGGACGACGUCUUCAGACAGGAUCUAUCCCAUGGAGCACUUCAAAGAGAAAUAUGCUGUUGAUGUAAGUCCAUGUGAUAUUGCAGACACUGAUCAGCCUGGAUCCAGCCGUCCCGCUCACAUUGCUAUGUGACCUUCUGGGGGAACAUUGACCUUGGGAAGCGGCUGGGAAGCUCUCAGUUUGAAGGCAAUAACUGCUGCCUCACAUGGCCCCAAUUAUUCAUUCCUAUGAUUAUUCAUUAAUGUAAUCGUGCUUUGUUCAGACGGCUUCUGGGGGACUUUUACUAUGCAUACAGAUUGCGGGUGAUUACCUUCAUUUUGGAACAAAUUUGAUUAGACUAAUGGUUUUGCCAGGCUUUGUGAGUUCAUAUAAAUGGCAGGAUAAUGGUUUUAUCCUUGCCAAUAGCUGGAAUUAUUUCCUUAGAAAUGUGCGAUUACAUAUUUUCAACAUAAAACAACAUACGCUUCAGAAGCUGUCACAUAUGUACGUAUGUUGGUGCUAACUGUGUCACCUUUUCUCCGCCAGCUUUGAAGUAAUCAACACCAUACUGCAUCCAGUCAUCGUGGAAUGCCGGGUGACCGAGACUGGUAUGGAGCUGGAGAUCAUGCGCUACACACUCAGGAUCUCCAGUGAAGCCCACAAAAACGUUGGAUCCGAUUUAGGGUUGAAGCCUAUGAGUUCCAAUUAAUUUUAGACAGUAUACAAAAGAUUUUGGUUGCACAUCCAUAUUCAUAAUAUCGUGCAGUGUGUUUAUACAUUAUUUUGUCCCCAACAUAGGGGUUUCAUCUAUACAGGCGUAUCUAUACAGGUCA